ACGGAGCAAUACCGCGUGAGGGACGAAGGCUCUUGGGUCGUAAACCUCUUUUCUCAGGGAAGAACGCAAUGACGGUACCUGAGGAACAAGCCUCGGCUAACUCCGUGCCAGCAGCCGCGGUAAGACGGAGGAGGCAAGCGUUAUCCGGAAUGAUUGGGCGUAAAGCGUCCGUAGGUGGUUGUGCAAGUCUGCUGUCAAAGCGCGAGGCUUAACCUCGUAAAGGCAGUGGAAACUGAAUAACUAGAGGGUGGUAGGGGUAGAGGGAAUUCCCAGUGUAGCGGUGAAAUGCGUAGAUAUUGGGAAGAACACCAGUGGCGAAAGCGCUCUACUGGGCCACACCUGACACUGAGGGACGAAAGCUAGGGGAGCG
rnacentral:rRNA from 1 species